rnacentral:SRP_RNA from 1 species
GCCGGGCAUGGUGUCACGUGCCUGUAAUCCCAGUUACUCAGGAGGCUGAGGCAGGAGAAUCGCUUGAAUCCAGGAGGCAGAGGGUGCAGUGAGCUGAGAUCGUGCCACUGCACUCCGGCCUGGGUGACAGAGCGAGACUCCGUCUCAA